CCUACGGGCGGCAGCAGUAGGGAAUCUUCCACAAUGGGCGAAAGCCUGAUGGAGCAACGCCGCGUGGGUGAAGAAGGUCUUCGGAUCGUAAAACCCUGUUGUUAGAGAAGAAAGUGCGUGAGAGUAACUGUUCACGUUUCGACGGUAUCUAACCAGAAAGCCACGGCUAACUACGUGCCAGCAGCCGCGGUAAUACGUAGGUGGCAAGCGUUAUCCGGAUUGAUUGGGCGUAAAGGGAACGCAGGCGGUCUUUUAAGUCUGAUGUGAAAGACUUCGGCUUAACCGGAGUAGUGCAUUGGAAACUGGGAGACUUGAGUGCAGAAGAGGAGAGUGGAACUCCAUGUGUAGCGGUGAAAUGCGUAGAUAUAUGGAAGAACACCAGUGGCGAAAGCGGCUCUCUGGUCUGUAACUGACGCUGAGGUUCGAAAGCGUGGGUAGCAAACAGGAUUAGAUACCCUGGUAGUC
rnacentral:rRNA from 1 species